UGUAUAUUUUCCUUUCUUAUAUGCAUUUGUCUUGACUACAUUCUCAAUGACAUCAUGGACAUUUUCCUGAAAAAAUCCUGAGGCCUGUAAUUUGAUUUUGGACAGAAGCAUGAAACCCGUCCCUGAGCAUCUGGAGGUGACGGCCAAUGAGCGCGAGGCGGACGAACCCAACCUCUGAAGAGCGGAUCAGCCGUGAUUACAGCAGGAGAGAUGAGUUCCUCUAAAGCCCAUGACUUCCACUCAGCGUCCCUCCUUCACAUGCGUGGAUCGCUCAUUUGUGCAUGCUAGCAGAUACUCUACCUGUGAGGCUAAACCCAUUCCACGCGGCCUGACCUCCGCUUUCACAGCAAUCAGCCUCACGCCGCCUCGGGAUCCCAGAUGUCUAUCUGCUUUUGUCCUGGACCCAAAGGAAACGCCGGCUUUCUCCAAGCGCCACUGAGGAUCACUCCCUGAUUCCGGAGUCAAAGGUCACGCACUCGUAUCACACAUGCAGUGCCUUCUUACACUGGAUUACUCCUCCAAUACAUUUAGU